rnacentral:rRNA from 1 species
GACGAACGCUGGCGGCGUGCUUAACACAUGCAAGUCGAACGGAAAGGCCCUGCUUUUGUGGGGUGCUCGAGUGGCGAACGGGUGAGUAACACGUGAGUAACCUGCCCUUGACUUUGGGAUAACUUCAGGAAACUGGGGCUAAUACCGGAUAGGAGCUCCUGCUGCAUGGUGGGGGGUGGAAAGUUUCGGCGGUUGGGGAUGGACUCGCGGCUUAUCAGCUUGUUGGUGGGGUAGUGGCUUACCAAGGCUGUGACGGGUAGCCGGCCUGAGAGGGUGACCGGCGACAUUGGUACUGAGAUACGGCCCAGACUCCUACGGGAGGCAGCAGUGGGGAAUAUUGCACAAUGGGCGGAAGCCUGAUGCAACAACGCCGCGUGCGGGAUGACGGCCUUCGGGUUGUAAACCGCUUUCGCCUGUGACGAAGCGUGAGUGACGGUAAUGGGUAAAGAAGCACCGGCUAACUACGUG